AUGAAAUUACCAAAAGCUAUGGGCGGCAUGGGAUUUAAGGACAUGUGUGCCUUCAACCAGGCACUCCUUGCCAAGCAGGCGUGGCGGCUAAUUGAUACACCUAACAGCCUGUGUGCUAGAUUGUUGAAGGCUAAAUACUACGCUUCAGGUAAUAUACUUGAUAUUGUAUUUUCAGGCAAUGGAUCGGCGGUAUGGAAGGGCAUAUUACACGGGCUGGAGCUGCUCAAAAAGGGUAUAAUAUGGCGGGUGGGGAGUGGAACCCUCAUCCGAACCUGGAGAGACCCCUGGAUACCACGUCCUUACUCUUACCGGCCUAUAACUCCCAAGCGUAAUUGUCGGUUUAACAGAGUUGCUGAUUUUUUAGAUGAAAAUGGCGCCUGGAGGCUGGACAGAUUGAGAGAGCAUUUUUGGCCGAUGGAUAUACAACAUAUUUUGAGGAUACGCACAUCUCCAAGGCAGCGUGCUGAUUUUGUCGCAUGGGCACCAGAAAAGAGCGGGAUUUUUACAGUGAGAAGU
rnacentral:rRNA from 1 species